AUUGAACGCUGGCGGCAUGCUUUACACAUGCAAGUCGAACGGUAACAGGGAGCUUGCUCCGCUGACGAGUGGCGAACGGGUGAGUAAUGCAUCGGAACGUACCCAGUCGUGGGGGAUAACGUAGCGAAAGUUACGCUAAUACCGCAUACGUCCUGAGGGAGAAAGCGGGGGGACCGUAAGGCCUCGCGCGAUUGGAGCGGCCGAUGUCGGAUUAGCUAGUUGGUAGGGUAAAGGCCUACCAAGGCGACGAUCCGUAGCGGGUCUGAGAGGAUGAUCCGCCACACUGGGACUGAGACACGGCCCAGACUCUUACGGGAGGCAGCAGUGGGGAAUUUUGGACAAUGGGCGAAAGCCUGAUCCAGCCAUGCCGCGUGAGUGAAGAAGGCCUCGGUU
rnacentral:rRNA from 1 species